rnacentral:rRNA from 1 species
UACGAAGGGGGCUAGCGUUGUUCGGAAUCACUGGGCGUAAAGCGCACGCAGGCGGAUUGAUAAGUCAGGGGUGAAAUCCCGGAGCUCAACUUCGGAAUUGCCUUUGAUACUGUCUAUCUUCGAGUUCGGGAGAGGUUGGCGGAAUUCCUAGUGUAGAGGUGAAAUUCGUAGAUAUUAGGAAGAACACCAGUGGCGAAGGCGGCCAACUGGCCCGAUACUGACGCUCAUGUGCGAAAGGCGUGGG